rnacentral:rRNA from 1 species
UACGAAGGGGGCUAGCGUUGUUCGGAAUUACUGGGCGUAAAGCGCACGUAGGCUGUGCGAUAAGUCAGUGGUGAAAUCCCGGAGCUUAACUUCGGAACUGCCAUUGAAACUAUCGUGCUAGAAUCUCAGAGGGGGUAGCGGAAUUCCAAUUGUAGGGGUGAAAUCCGUAGAUAUUUGGAGGAACACCGGUGGCGAAGGCGGCUACCUGGAUGAGUAUUGACGCUGAGGUGCGAAAGCGUGGGGAUCAAACAGG